rnacentral:lncRNA from 1 species
UGGAAGAUCAUAACCGUGAAAAGCAUACUGUCCGUUGUGGUAAGUGCAAUCAAACUGGACAUUACAAGACAACCUGCAAAGCAGAGGCUGUUUAGAGUACACACCCCGAAAAAUCCUCGAGGACCAAUUUGACGCACAAUUUGAAACUCGAUGAACAAUGGACCUGUCCCUCUAUCCUUCUUCACUUAGGUAUCACCCUUCCCGAAGUCUUCCAAUAUUUUAUUUUUGGUUCGUUUCUUUGAGGUAGAAUUAGUAAAUAUUGUAGAAAGAUAUAAGAUAAGAGGUCUCAACUAGCUUAUUAGUAAAUAUUGGAGAGAGGUAUAAGAUAAGAGGUCUCAACUAGCUUUAUGCAUGCUCAGGCAUUCUAGGCCAUUCAGAUACUGUAAAAUAGGGUUGCUUGUUGUGCCCAAACCUCACUGUAACGUUUAACUGCAAAAGUUAAAUUACCUAAGUUUGGUGUAAACCACAGGGUGUCGGUAAGUAUUUACCCUAGUGAUGGUUGUGAGGUAAUGUUCUCUAUGAUUUAUUUGGUUUCUGUUACCUAAAAAAAAUGCUUUGUUAUCCCUUUUUUUCCAGUGGGUAUAAUCAUUAAACUCUGAUCAAACUACUUUCUGGACAAAUUGCAGGAAGUUUAUUGACAAAAAUAGUGAUUUCAUAGCUGUUAUCUUGGGGCUCGUUUGAUACGAGGGAUCAGGGAUAAUUAAUCCCAUGAUUAAAUUUGAGAUGAGUUUACCUAAUGUUUGGUUGGGAUAAAAUUGCAGUAUAACUAAUACGGGAUUGUAUUUUUUU